UGAGUAAGCCAGAUGGUCGCGGGGUCGGCGCAAGCCGACCAUGAGGAAAGUCCGGGCUUCAUAGGGCAGGGUGCCGGGUAACUCCCGGUGGAGGCGACUCCAAGGAUAGUGCAACAGAAAUAAACUGCCAAAGGCGAAAGCCUUGGCGAUGGUGGAAAGGCAGGGUAAGAGCCUACCGGCGAUAUGGCGACAUAUCGGCCAUGUAAACCCCACCUGAAGCAACACCGUAUUGGCUCGUGUGAGAUUUAGUCUGCCCGACAUGCUCACACUUGGCGGUGGCUUGAGUUAUGUAGUAAUACAUAGCCUAGAUAGAUGAUCAUCUAAUACAGAACCCGGCUUACAGACUUGCUCAUUAU
rnacentral:RNase_P_RNA from 1 species